AGAGUUUGAUCAGGGCUCAGGACGAACGCUGGCGGCGUGCCUAAUACAUGCAAGUCGAGCGGACUGAUGGGAGCUUGCUCCCAGAUGUUAGCGGCGGACGGGUGAGUAACACGUGGGCAACCUGCCCUAUAGUUUGGGAUAACUCCGGGAAACCGGGGCUAAUACCGAAUGAUACAUUUCAUCUCCUGUUGAAAUGUUGAAAGAUGGUUUUGCUAUCGCUAUAGGAUGGGCCCGCGGCGCAUUAGCUAGUAGGUGAGGUAACGGCUCACCUAGGCGACGAUGCGUAGCCGACCUGAGAGGGUGAUCGGCCACACUGGGACUGAGACACGGCCCAGACUCCUACGGGAGGCAGCAGUAGGGAAUCUUCCACAAUGGGCGAAAGCCUGAUGGAGCAACGCCGCGUGAGUGAAGAAGGUUUUCGGAUCGUAAAACUCUGUUGUAAGGGAAGAACAAGUACAGUAGUAACUGGCUGUACCUUGACGGUACCUUAUUAGAAAGCCACGGCUAACUACGUGCCAGCAGCCGCGGUAAUACGUAGGUGGCAAGCGUUGCCCGGAAUUAUUGGGCGUAAAGCGCGCGCAGGUGGUCCUUUAAGUCUGAUGUGAAAGCCCACGGCUCACCCUGUGGAGGGUCAUUGGAAACUGGGGGACUUGGAGUGCAGAAGAGGAAAGUGGAAUUCCAGUGUAGCGGUGAAAUGCGUAGAGAUUUGGAGGAACACCAGUGGCGAAGCGACUUUCUGGUCUGUAACUGACGCUGAGGCGCGAAAGCGUGGGGAGCAAACAGGAUUAGAUACCCUGGUAGUCCACGCCGUAAACGAUGAGUGCUAAGUGUUAGGGGGUUUCCGCCCCUUAGUGCUGCGCUAACGCGAUAAGCAUUCCGCCUGGGGAGUACGGUCGCAAGACUAAAACUCAAAGGAAUUGACGGGGACCCGCACAAGCGGUGGAGCAUGUGGUUUAAUUCGACGAUAAGCGAGGAACCUUACCAGGGCUUGACAUCCCGUUGACCACUGUAGAGAUAUGGUUUUCCCUUCGGGGACAACGGUGACAGGUGCUGCACGGUUGUCGUCAGCUCGUGUCGUGAGAUGUUGGGUUAAGUCCCGCAACGAGCGCAACCCUUGAUCUUAGUUGCCAUCAUUUAGUUGGGCACUCUAAGGUGACUGCCGGUGACAAACCGGAGGAAGGCGAGGAUGACGUCAAAUCAGCGUGGCUCUUACGCCCUGGGCGACACACGUGCUACAAUGGACGAUACAAACGGUUGCCAACUCGCGAGAGGGAGCUAAUCCGAUAAAGUCGUUCUCAGUUCAGAUUGAGGGCUGCAACUCGCCCUCAUGAAGCCGGAAUCGCUAGUAACCGUAGAUCAGCCUCGCUACGGUGAAUACGUUCUCGGGUUUUGUACACACUGCCCGU
rnacentral:rRNA from 1 species